UUGCUACAGGCUUAACACAUGCAAGUCGAGGGGCAGCAUGGUCUUAGCUUGCUAAGGCCGAUGGCGACCGGCGCACGGGUGAGUAACACGUAUCCAACCUGCCGUCUACUCUUGGACAGCCUUCUGAAAGGAAGAUUAAUACAAGAUGGCAUCAUGAGUCCGCAUGUUCACAUGAUUAAAGGUAUUCCGGUAGACGAUGGGGAUGCGUUCCAUUAGAUAGUAGGCGGGGUAACGGCCCACCUAGUCUUCGAUGGAUAGGGGUUCUGAGAGGAAGGUCCCCCACAUUGGAACUGAGACACGGUCCGAACUCCUACGGGAGGCAGCAGUGAGGAAUAUUGGUCAAUGGGCGAGAGCCUGAACCAGCCAAGUAGCGUGAAGGAUGACUGCCCUAUGGGUUGUAAACUUCUUUUAUAAAGGAAUAAAGUCGGGUAUGCAUACCCGUUUGCAUGUACUUUAUGAAUAAGGAUCGGCUAACUCCGUGCCAGCAGCCGCGGUAAUACGGAGGAUCCAAGCGUUAUCCGGAUUUAUUGGGUUUAAAGGGAGCGUAGAUGGAUGUUUAAGUCAGUUGUGAAAGUUUGCGGCUCAACCGUAAAAUUGCAGUUGAUACUGGAUAUCUUGAGUGCAGUUGAGGCAGGCGGAAUUCGUGGUGUAGCGGUGAAAUGCUUAGAUAUCACGAAGAACUCCGAUUGCGAAGGCAGCCUGCUAAGCUGCAACUGACAUUGAGGCUCGAAAGUGUGGGUAUCAAACAGGAUUAGAUACCCUGGUAGUCCACACGGUAAACGAUGAAUACUCGCUGUUUGCGAUAUACGGCAAGCGGCCAAGCGAAAGCGUUAAGUAUUCCACCUGGGGAGUACGCCGGCAACGGUGAAACUCAAAGGAAUUGACGGGGGCCCGCACAAGCGGAGGAACAUGUGGUUUAAUUCGAUGAUACGCGAGGAACCUUACCCGGGCUUAAAUUGCAGAUGAAUUACGGUGAAAGCCGUAAGCCGCAAGGCAUCUGUGAAGGUGCUGCAUGGUUGUCGUCAGCUCGUGCCGUGAGGUGUCGGCUUAAGUGCCAUAACGAGCGCAACCCUUGUUGUCAGUUACUAACAGGUUCCGCUGAGGACUCUGACAAGACUGCCAUCGUAAGAUGUGAGGAAGGUGGGGAUGACGUCAAAUCAGCACGGCCCUUACGUCCGGGGCUACACACGUGUUACAAUGGGGGGUACAGAGGGCCGCUACCACGCGAGUGGAUGCCAAUCCCAAAAACCUCUCUCAGUUCGGACUGGAGUCUGCAACCCGACUCCACGAAGCUGGAUUCGCUAGUAAUCGCGCAUCAGCCACGGCGCGGUGAAUACGUUCCCGGGCCUUGUACACACCGCCCGUCAAGCCAUGGGAGCCGGGGGUACCUGAAGUGCGUAACCGCGAGGAGCGCCCUAGGGUAAAACUGGUGACUGGG
rnacentral:rRNA from 1 species